CCCGCCACUAUGCCUGUUUGUCAAAGUGACUGAGUAUAAUCCAGUGGAGGCUGAGAUAGACCCAGCUUUAGGAAACAGGGUUGCCUAAACUAAUGGGCAACUCUGUGCCGAAAGGUCUGGAACACGU
rnacentral:snoRNA from 1 species